AACGCUGGCGGCGUGCUUAACACAUGCAAGUCGAACGAAGAUAUUUAAAAUGAGAGCUUCGGCAGGAUUUUUAUCUAUCUUAGUGGCGGACGGGUGAGUAACGUGUGGGCAACCUGCCCUGUACUGGGGAAUAAUCAUUGGAAACGAUGACUAAUACCGCAUGUGGUCCUUGGAAGGCAUCUUCUGAGGAAGAAAGGAUUUAUUCGGUACAGGAUGGGCCCGCAUCUGAUUAGCUAGUUGGUGAGAUAACAGCCCACCAAGGCGACGAUCAGUAGCCGACCUGAGAGGGUGAUCGGCCACAUUGGGACUGAGACACGGCCCAAACUCCUACGGGAGGCAGCAGUGGGGAAUAUUGCACAAUGGGCGAAAGCCUGAUGCAGCAACGCCGCGUGAAGGAUGAAGGGUUUCGGCUCGUAAACUUCUAUCAAUAGGGAAGAAAGAAAUGACGGUACCUAAAUAAGAAGCCCCGGCUAACUACGUGCCAGCAGCCGCGGUAAUACGUAGGGGGCAAGCGUUAUCCGGAAUUACUGGGUGUAAAGGGAGCGUAGGCGGCAUGGUAAGCCAGAUGUGAAAGCCUUGGGCUUAACCCGAGGAUUGCAUUUGGAACUAUCAAGCUAGAGUACAGGAGAGGAAAGCGGAAUUCCUAGUGUAGCGGUGAAAUGCGUAGAUAUUAGGAAGAACACCAGUGGCGAAGGCGGCUUUCUGGACUGAAACUGACGCUGAGGCUCGAAAGCGUGGGGAGCAAACAGGAUUAGAUACCCUGGUAGUCCACGCCGUAAACGAUGAGUGCUAGGUGUCGGGGAGGAAUCCUCGGUGCCGCAGCUAACGCAAUAAGCACUCCACCUGGGGAGUACGACCGCAAGGUUGAAACUCAAAGGAAUUGACGGGGGGUCCGCACAAGCGGUGGAGCAUGUGGUUUAAUUCGAAGCAACGCGAAGAACCUUACCAAGGCUUGACAUCCCGAUGACCGUCCUAGAGAUAGGACUUCUCUUCGGAGCAUCGGUGACAGGUGGUGCAUGGUUGUCGUCAGCUCGUGUCGUGAGAUGUUGGGUUAAGUCCCGCAACGAGCGCAACCCUUAUCUUCAGUAGCCAUCAUUCAGUUGGGCACUCUGGAGAGACUGCCGUGGAUAACACGGAGGAAGGUGGGGAUGACGUCAAAUCAUCAUGCCCCUUAUGUCUUGGGCUACACACGUGCUACAAUGGCUGGUAACAAAGUGACGCAAGACGGCGACGUUAAGCAAAUCACAAAAACCCAGUCCCAGUUCGGAUUGUAGUCUGCAACUCGACUACAUGAAGCUGGAAUCGCUAGUAAUCGCGAAUCAGCAUGUCGCGGUGAAUACGUUCCCGGGCCUUGUACACACCGCCCGUCACACCAUGGGAGUUGGAAGCACCCGAAGUCGGUGACCUAACCGUAAGGAAGGAGCCGCCGAAGGUGAAGCCAGUGACUGGGGUG
rnacentral:rRNA from 1 species